rnacentral:rRNA from 1 species
CUACGGGAUGCACCAGUGAGGAAUAUUGGUCAAUGGGCGAAAGCCUGAACCAGCCAUGCCGCGUGAAGGAUGACGGCCCUAUGGGUUGUAAACUUCUUUUAUACGGGAAGAAACACCUCUACGUGUAGAGGUUUGACGGUACCGUACGAAUAAGCAUCGGCUAACUGCGUGCCAGCAGCCGCGGUAAUACGGAGGAUGCAAGCGUUAUCCGGAUUUAUUGGGUUUAAAGGGUACGUAGGCGGAAACUUAAGUCAGUAGUGAAAUCCCGCAGCUUAACUGUGGAACUGUUAUUGAUACUGGGUUUCUUGAAUAUUGUUGAGGUAGGCGGAAUAAGUAAUGUAGCGGUGAAAUGCUUAGAUAUUACUUAGAACACCGAUUGCGAAGGCAGCUUACUAAGCAAUUAUUGACGCUGAGGUACGAAAGCGUGGGGAGCGAACAGGAUUAGAUACCCUCGUAGUC